rnacentral:rRNA from 1 species
CGGACGGGUGAGUAAUGUCUGGGAAACUGCCCGAUGGAGGGGGAUAACUACUGGAAACGGUAGCUAAUACCGCAUAACGUCGCAAGACCAAAGAGGGGACCUUCGGGCCUCUUGCCAUCGGAUGUGCCCAGAUGGGAUUAGCUAGUAGGCGGGGUAACGGCUCACCUAGGCGACGAUCCCUAGCUGGUCUGAGAGGAUGACCAGCCACACUGGAACUGAGACACGGCCAG